UCCCUGGUGGCUCAGAGGUUAAAGCGUCUGCCUACAAUGCAGGAGACCCGGGUUCGAUCCCUGGGUUGGGAA
rnacentral:tRNA from 1 species